rnacentral:rRNA from 1 species
GACAGAGGCCCCGAGCGUUAGGCGGAAUCACUGGGCUUAAAGCGUGUGUAGGCGGGCCCGUAAGUGUCUUGUGAAAUCCCACGGCUCAACCGUGGAACUGCUGGGCAUACUGCGGGUCUUGGGCCAACUAGGGGCAGCCGGAACAAGCGGUGGAGCGGUGAAAUGCGUAGAUAUCGCUUGGAACGCCGAAGGUGAAAACAGGCUGCUGGGGUUGCGCUGACGCUGAGACACGAAAGCCAGGGGAGCAAACGGG